rnacentral:rRNA from 1 species
AUUCCAGCUCCAAUAGCGUAUACUAAAGUUGUUGCAGUUAAAAAGCUCGUAGUUGAAUUUCUGGGUGUGAUAGGCGGUCCGUGUGCAUAACAUGUGUACCUCCCUCUCAUGCCCAUCCUCGAAGUGAAUAUGCAUUGCCUUAACUGUGUCGUGUAUAGGACCUUCGUCAUUUACUGUGAGCAAAAUAGAGUGUUCAAAGCAGGCUUAUGCCGUUGAAUAUAUUAGCAUGGAAUAAUAAGAUAUGACUUCUGUCUAUUUUGUUGGUUUGCAUUCGGAAGUAAUGAUUAAUAGGGAUAGUUGGGGGUUUUCGUAUUCAAUUGUCAGAGGUGAAAUUCUUGGAUUUAUGGAAGACGAACUACUGCGAAAGCAUCAACCAAGGAUGUUUUCAUUG